CUGGCGGCGUGCUUAACACAUGCAAGUCGAACGGAAAGGCCCCAGCUUGCUGGGGUGCUCGAGUGGCGAACGGGUGAGUAACACGUAAGUGAUCUGCCCUGCACUGGGGGAUAAGCUUGGGAAACUGGGUCUAAUACCCUAUAGGACCGCAUCGUGGUUGGUGUGGUGGAAAGGUUUUUCUGGUGUGGGAUGAGCUUGCGGCCUAUCAGCUUGUUGGUGGGGUAAUGGCCUACCAAGGCGGCGACGGGUAGCCGGCCUGAGAGGGUGUGCGGCCACAUUGGGACUGAGAUACGGCCCAGACUCCUACGGGAGGCAGCAGUGGGGAAUUUUGCACAAUGGGCGGAAGCCUGAUGCAGCGACGCCGUGUGGGGGAUGAAGGCCUUCGGGUUGUAAACUCCUUUCGUCAGGGACGAAGUUUUUUUGACGGUACCUGGAUAAGAAGCACCGGCUAACUACGUGCCAGCAGCCGCGGUAAUACGUAGGGUGCGAGCGUUGUCCGGAUUUACUGGGCGUAAAGGGCUCGUAGGUGGUGUGUCGCGUCGUCUGUGUAAUCCAGGGGCUUAACUUUUGGUUGGCAGGCGAUACGGGCAUUGCUUGAGUGCUGUAGGGGAGACUGGAAUUCCUGGUGUAGCGGUGAAAUGCGCAGAUAUCAGGAGGAACACCGAUGGCGAAGGCAGGUCUCUGGGCAGUUACUGACGCUGAGGAGCGAGAGCAUGGGUAGCGAACAGGAUUA
rnacentral:rRNA from 1 species